rnacentral:rRNA from 1 species
CCUACGGGAGGCAGCAGUGGGGGAUAUUGCACAAUGGGGGAAACCCUGAUGCAGCGACGCCGCGUGUGGGAAGACGGUCCUCUGGAUUGUAAACCACUGUCCCCAGGGACGAAGAUGACGGUACCUGGGGAGGAAGCUCCGGCUAACUACGUGCCAGCAGCCGCGGUAAUACGUAGGGAGCGAGCGUUGUCCGGAAUUACUGGGUGAAAAGGGAGCGUAGGCGGGACUGCAAGUUGGGUGUCAAAUCUACCGGCUCAACCGGUAGCCGCACUCAAACCUGCAGUUCUUGAGUGAAGUAGAGGCAGGCGGAAUUCCUAGUGUAGCGGUGAAAUGCGUAGAUAUUAGGAGGAACACCAGUGGCGAAGGCGGCCUGCUGGGCUUUUACUGACGCUGAGGCUCGAAAGUGUGGGGAGCAAACAGGAUUAGAUACCCCAGUAGUC